GACGAACGCUGGCGGCGUGCCUAAUACAUGCAAGUAGGACGCAGUUGCGAACGGGUGAGUAACGCGUAGGUAACUACCUAUUAGAGGGGGAUAACUAUUGGAAACGCUAGCUGAUACCGCAUACUAGUAGAUGGACCUGCGUUGUAUUAGCUAGUAGGUAGGGGAAUUGCCUACCUAGGCAACGAUACAUAGCCGACCUGAGAGGGGGAGCGGCCAAACUGGGAAUGAGACACGGCCCAGAAUCCGACGGGAGGCAGCAGUAGGGAAUCGUCGGCAAUGUGGGGAACCCUGACCGAGCAACGCAGCGUGAGGGAAGAAGGGUUUCGGAUCGUAAAGCUCUGUUGUUAAGGAAGCGGUACUUAACCAGAAAGGGACGGCUAACUACGUGCCAGCAGCCGCGGUAAUUC
rnacentral:rRNA from 1 species